rnacentral:rRNA from 1 species
AGUGAACGCUGGCGGCAGGCCUAACACAUGCAAGUCGAACGGCAGCAUAGUCUAACUUUGUAGUUUCGUGUCGCGUGUCGCACGCGGGUGUGGUACAUCUGGGCAUCUCCUUUAUCGUGGGGGAUCUAGUCGGGAAACUUACGAAUAUCGCGUACAAGAUCUACGGGAGAGUGCGGGGGCUCAUCGCCUCUUGCGAGAUUAACUGCCGCGAUGUCGGAUUAGCUAGUUGGAGGGGUAAAGGCCCACCAAGGCGACGAUCCGUAGCUGGUCUGAGAGGAUGAUCAGCCACACUGGAACUGAGACACGGUCCAGACUCCUACGGGAGGCAGCAGUGGGGAAUUUUGGACAAUGGGCGCAAGCCUGAUCCAGCCAUGCCGCGUGUGUGAAGAAGGCCUUCGGGUUGUAAAGCCCUUUUGUUGGGAAAGAAAAGCAGCAGGUUAAUACCCCGCUGUUCUGACGGUACCCAAAGAAUAAGCACCGGCUAACUACGUG